rnacentral:lncRNA from 1 species
UGAACUUGAGUAACAUGAUUAUUUCACAAAAGACCCUGGCACUCAAGGCAGGCAGUGGUGAGCCGGCAGCCCCCUCGGCGAACACAGCUGGCCCAGGCAGCUUGGAGCAGCAGUAGGAAGACUCCCUGCUCGCUGUAGACCUGAGCUCAAGCCAGAGGAGCCAGGCUUCCGAGCACCGGGGCCCUGAGGCCGCUGGAGAGGGUGGCUCUCCCACCCCUGGAGUUCCCCAGAGACCUCGUCUGGGGCCGGCGCCUAUGCCUGCUUAUUUGGCCAUAAUGAAUGGGCACUCCCUGGAGCAGAUGUGCCUAAUAACAGUCCAGCAAGACUGCCUCAAGAGCCACCUCUGGGACACACUUUAAAGCCACACUGGCCACAAGGGACGCUGGUGAUCCCGUGGUCUGCAGAGCUACCUGCUCAGUCUAUUUAUGUCACCUCACUCCCAGCCAGCCAGGGGAGGCCAGGGGAGCCCCUCGAUGACUAAUGUCACAGCUGCCACCAGGGACAGGCCCUGCAGCAGCCUGGAGGCCUGAUGUGUCCAUACCAACGAUGGCCGUCAGCAGGGGCUGUGUGGAAGGACAGAGCUGCUGGGGCCUUGGGAAGACAAGAGACCGGCUGCCGCCUGUAACUGCUGGCCUGGCUGUGGGCUUUUGGCUGAGGUCUGCAGCCAUGCACUGGCCACCGUGUUGUACAGGAAGAGGACUUCUCACUGGUUUCCACAGUCUGUGCACCCUGACAGCGGGUUGUCUACUGGAACCUGGUUCAACGUCUCUUGGUUGAAACCUUGGUGGUGCCAGGGCUUGAAAGCCCUUUCCCCGGAGGGCUCCCCUGUUGGCUCUGACUUGCUGUCCUCGGUAGGUGAGCCUUCCUGCCCGUCCCGUCAGCUCGAGACCCGCACCGCUGACUUACGGACAGAGAAACGCGCAUUGCUGACUCUGAGCACAGGUGGCCUGGCUCCUGCACAGACCCCCCACCAACCCAGUCUCUGGGCACACACUUCAAAGAGCCUGCCAGGGUUAAUGCCACUUCAAGAAACCGGUGGCCUGGGAGUCUAGAAUCUUCUGGCUAUCAGUCAGCGGUGCCUGCCUGUAGGAGCCCAGGCCCUUAGCAAACUCCUAGGCUCUGUGCUUUCCCACAGCGAAUCUUUAGCACUAAGAUUCAGCUCCCAGCCUUUCAUCGGUUGUGUAUGUCUUUCCUGGCCCAAAUAAUAUCGUGGUGGGACACUAGAUAGGAGCCUGUCCCCAAAUAAAUGAGUUGCAACAGUAACUAGUUAGUUACUUGUAAUUAAACACACAGAGACAGACUAUUAUUAUUAUUAUUUUGAGACGGAAUCUCGCUCUGUCACCGAGGCUGGAGAGCAGUGGCGCGAUCUCAGCUCACUGCAACCUCCGCCUCCCAGGUUCAAGCGAUUCUCCUGCCUCAGACUCUGGAGUCGCUGGGACUACAGGUGUGCACCACCAGGCCUGGCUAAUUUUUGUAUUUUAAUAGAGAUGGGGUUUCACUAGAUGAUUUACCCCUUUUAAAAACAAUGCACUUGGCUGGGCGCAGUGGCUCAUGCCUGUAAUCCCAGCACUUUGGGAGGCCGAGGUGGGUGGAUCCCUGAGGUCAGGAGUUCGAGACCAGCCUGGCCAACAUAGUGAAACCCCGUCUCAAAAUAAUAAUUUUGAAUCUCGCUCAUCAGAGCGAGCUUCUGUCUCA